UGCAGAAAGAAUACAAUGAACCCUUAUAUACUCAUCUGGUUUAUUAACAAUCUGCCAGUCUUGUUUCACCCAGCAUCUCCCAUACCCAUCUGGGGGGUAUUUUCUGGAGUAUUUGAAAGCAAUCCUCAGAUCUGCCAUUUAACCUACAGCUCCUUCAGUAGGAAAUUCCAAAAGAUAAAGACUUUGUUAUGCAGCUACUCUGCUGUCAUCACACCUAACAAAAUGAACAAAAAUCCCCUAAUACGCAGCCACGUUUCUAGCCUAGCAGCCACGUUUCUAGCCUAGCACGGCGGCAGAAGUACUAGCUGACAGCCGCAGGCAGGGGUGGCUUAGCGGAAAAGGAGUUUUGCAGGGGACAAGCUUCCCCGUUAAGGUCCUUGAGUUUCCAGAGCAGAAGGUCACUGUAGCCUGUGGUAUGUCUGAGAAGAUGUCCUGGUCCUGGACAGGGGCCUCUUGGCCUUGGGAUCUCUCUACAAGCAGAGCUGGCCACCCUAGGCCAGACAAGGAGGCAGGGCCCCCACCGGCUCAGGACCACCCUUCAGCCACCUCUGGGUCCACCUUGGAUCAACAUGACUAAGUUCUGGCCAAUGUGCCAGAGUGCAAGUGCCACCUGGCCAAGAAGAAUCAGAAAGGUGCCAUCUUGCACCGUGAAGAUGGGGCCCAACCCUAGGGAAGGUGGCAUGCUGAGCUGGAAGGAAUUAGACCCGUGUGGACUCUGACACAUUGCUGCCUUACUGGGCUGGCUACCUCACUGUAGAGAGCAAAAUGGAGUCUCUCAUGUCAAACAGGAGCCUGUGUCAAGCAACGAUACAAGCAGUUAAAGCUCUCUUUAACAGAUACGGAAACCGAAUCUCAGAGAAUUGAAGCAAAAUGCCCAAGGUCACGGAGGAGCUGGGACUAUGCCUCCAGCUAGUCUGACUCGUCAUAAGUCAGAAUACACCCCAGUCGACAGAGCUGCACGGACACAGGAGCCACGAGCCACAUGUUCAGUGUUUGACAAGUCUUGUAAGGUUUUGGAGUGUCCAGUGUUUAUUCCUACCUGGGGAAAUGAGUUGCCUCUUACCUUACAAAAAAGUGUGAGAAGACUUCCGGGAUGAAAGCUGAGGUCCCA